GGGAACAUCAAGCGAUGUUUAGGACUUAAAUAUUGGCACCAUCUCAUCAUCACGAUGUGGCAGCAUCGCAAACGCCAUAGUUUAAUUCUCAGGGUAAUUAUGAACAUGGAGUUGUUGUUGGCUGUUGGAUGCUGCCUGCGAUGUUAACGAUGGCAUGUUAAGCGCAUAAGCCACGUGACCUAGGAGGAGAGAGAGAAGAAAAAAAACUGCGUCGUGCAAAAGAGCGACGACCCCUUCGAGUCGCGUUAUUUACGUCGAUGGCUCCGCAGGCACAGCAAACCCUUGAUACCAAAAAUACUUCGCAGCCACGGCUACUUGGGGAAUCCCCGUCUGUACAGCAGCCGGCACUCUAUGAGUGGAGAGAUGCGAAACAUCUGGGUUGCGGAUCGACUGAACAGCUGACUGUGUAAAACUGGGAAAAAUCGAUGACGCUUGCAGCCUGAUGGUCGAUGCACUCACACUCACACUGCUGCUGCUGCUGCUUUUGGUGCAGUCGAUUUGUCUUCGAUUCUUCUUCUUCACACGUGAUCCUAGCAGGAGAUCUGUGGUUCCUUUCAUUCCAUCUAAGCACAUGCCGAGGGCUAUAAACUUUUCCAACAAUUUUCGUUUUUUGACCUCAGGUUUUUGAGCUUUAUGCAUCCACGCAUAAAGGAUUGCACUUCAUAUGUGAACAUCGUCCCUGGUCGAGACCGAAGAACGAGUUGACUGAGGCAAUGUUCAAUUUCCUGAACUGCUAGACAUAUAUCACGGGACGCACACUCUGUCAAACGUGUAUAAUGCUCUACAUGGACAUCAACUUUCAUGUUGACUUUUCAAAUGAUGCUACAGCAGCCUUAUUCUUAGAUGUCAUUCAUGCGUGUAAUCUCCGCCAGACUGUGACUGAUCAUAAAAAAACAUGGCCGUCCUCUGGAGUUUGUGAUUGAUAGGCCUGCUGAGUCAAAUCAUUGGUGUGUCCUUGCACAGACUUUAACAUGGACUUCAAGCUGCGGUGUAUGGACAGAGCCACCUUCCCUGAGGAGAUAUAAAUGUUGAUCUGGCUCCUUUCGACGAUUGUUCUGUUGACCAGUUCAACACAGCUCUUUGAGCAGUACUGGACAGACAUUCCCCUGCGGCACUUUGUAAGGUGACCCACUCCUUCUGGCUUCUGGCAAAUGUUCUCUUGCAAACUAUUUACAGCUUUCCCCACUGUUGCUGAAGAGAAGGUACGAGACAUUCGGAGACGUGUUCUUGACCUUAUUACAACCUCUCUGUUUGAAUGUUUGGAUGUAGUCCUUUUUGACUUAGAAAUCAUGAACAGGUCUCUUGCCUAUGGAGCUUUUUCAGACGCUUAUAGGUCUGAACCGGUAAUACCAGUGUUUAAAAAGCUCACUUUAGACCACAGUGAUAUAAAGUGUUUCUGUUCAGUAUGUAAUCUUCCGCUUAUUUCUAAUUCGAUUGAGAAGAUUUUCGUAUGAAAGCAGUCAAUCAAAUUUCAAUUUAUUGCAGUCUGCAUACAGGCAAGGCUCC